CACUAAAGGAGUUCAAAAAGGAGGCUUACUGCUUAAUGUUUUACCUCUUGGAUGUGUUCAAGAUGGCUUUCAUUUUUGACAUGGUGAGUUGAAAGAUACACUCAUAACAUGCAUGAUACACAAGCGUCGGUACAAAAGGCUUACAAAAUUCUUUUGCAUGUUUAAGUCAUUAGAGGCUUGGUGGGAGGAUGUUGAUGACCAUAUUGAGAAGAUUGUCCCCUAAUCACGAAGAUGGGGUAUUAUUAUUUUGGGGCGCAAGUUCUCCAAAGAAAAUGGAAUAGGUCUUCAUAUUGGCGAAAAGGUCAACAUCACAUAUGAGUGGGUCAAUUUCUCUCAUGAGAAUUUAAAAAAUGAGUUCCAGUGGCAGGACGUUGAUGAAAAAUUUCUCGAGUUUCAAAAACAUGAUGAUGGAGGUUAACGGGUUAGAUGUUAUGAACAACAUAGAAAUCCUCCACACAAACCCGUACUUAAUUAAUCUACACCCCGAAGAAUACAGGCUUUGUAUGUAUUAUGCGAUGAAGAAACUCCAUGAGAGGUACUUUUGGGUUAUGGAAUCCACCACUGACUCAAGCUACUCCCACUACAAGAAAAAUAUUUAUUUGCUGCUAUUUAUUUGUUGCAUAUAUUUUAAUUCGCAGCAAAAGAAUUGACGAAUUUUUUAGUUAACACCUUUUAAUUAUAAACUAUUAAUUUGCACGGCUUAACUUUUAAAACCGCAGCAAAUCAAUUAUCUCCCCUUUACAUCUAAACCCUCAUCCCUUACCUCUAACAAAUUCAUUUCUCGUUCUCCAUCACUACUUCUCUCAACCUCACCGCCCUUUUUCCUCUCUAUCGCUUUGCUUAGCCUCACCCACCAUCAUCCCCACCGCCAACGCUUUGCUACUUCCAAGAUCUCAUCCACCAUCAUCCUUGCUGUCGACGCUUCACCUCCUCUCCAUCACCAUCGUCACUUUUCUCCACUGCGCUCUUCACCCUCAUUUCUCAUCCCUUUCCCCCACCGCUCUUUUAGAUUCUUUCUUUGUAAAUCCCUUCUCCAUGGUUCUGCUUCAACUCAAUGCCAUUAUUGUUGCUGCUCGAUUGACGUCACUAUUGUUGCCGCAUUCUAUUACUCCUUUGGUUAUCAGAUCUAAGACUUUGUAAUAAUGGUGGUUGCUUACCCUCUUGCAACUGUGCUUUUUUUUUUUUAGGAAAGCUACUGAAAUGACUUAUGCUGUCCAUUUGUAUUUUUUAUUUUUUGAUGAAUAUGUAAUUUUACUAGCUUUUGAAUUAUUAAUGGAACCAUUUAAGUUUAUAUAUAAA